UACUUAACAAUUAACAAACACGUCUAUUUUUCUCUCUUUCAGAAUUUUCCUUUUACUCACUCAACUCUCUGAAAAAACCCAAACUGAAUCUUCGAAAGAGUCUCCAAUGGAAUCGAACUUUACUCUUAUUUGAAUAGGUACCAUUGGACAUGGAAGAGCCACAGAUGAUAUAUUGCUCGAGAUCUUUACUUAUCUUCCUCUGAAGUCGAUCUAUAAGUUGAAAUGUCUUUCAAAGGUUGGGUAGAAUGUUAGUUUACGAUUUCAUUAAGAACAACGGAAGUGAUGGCCACCGAUGUAGUUUGAUUGAUUUGCCAGAUGAUGAUGGGAAAAACUUCGAAAGUAUUCUUGGGGAAUCAGAAGCCUGGCUCUGUUACGGUAGAAUCAAGUUACAGGCGAGGAACUGACUCUGAGUGUUUGGGUGCUCAACGAGGUCAACUGGGAAAUAACGCACAAGAAUAUUUUAUUAGGCCCUGCCUAUAUAGAACUUCCUUCUCAGCUAAGUGGAUUUGCAAGAAUCAGAGUUUUAGGCUUUAAUGUUGUUUUGCUCGGUUGGCCGCAACAGGUUUGGGGAUUCAAUGUCCAGACUAGAAGCGUUGAAGAGCUCUGCUUGGGUAAUGCAUAUGAAUAUGAUAUAGGCAAGCUGUACCUGCCGUUUGUGCUAAAGCCAAUGCCAACAGUACUUCCAAUUUGUAGAAGCAACCCUGAGGCUGAAGAGAGAAAAGAGAGAGAGCUCCAGAGACUUAAAUGGAAUGGAAAGAAUGGAAGCGAUGAAAAUUUGGGCAGAGGGAAAAGACGUCGGACUGAGAAGGUUUUUCCUUGGAUUCUUCUUUGAAAGUUUCCUGUAUUUUUUUUCUUUUCUUUUCUGUUGCAAGGCUGGUGCCUGGAGCAUGACUCAAUCUGUUUUUUUUUUCUUCCUUUGUGUCAAAAUUUGUUUUGGAGUUGCUAAAUUUAGUGAUCAGUUUCUAUCUUUUU